AUGCUCUGUCUUGUGCUGCCUGAGUCAGCCAGGGGCACCCAGCUCCUCUGCUGUGUGGCCCUCCGUCUCCUGGAAGCUGGUCCAGCGGAUGCUGGGGUCAUCCAGUUCCCCAAACACCUAAUCAAAGGCAUGGGGGGAAAUGCUGUUCUGAAAUGCUACCCCAGCUCUGGACACAGCAGUGUUUGCUGGUUCCAGCAGGCUCUUGGGCAGGGCCCCCAGUUUCUCAUCAAGUAUUAUGAAAAGGAGCAGGGAGAGAAGCGGAACAUCCCUGACCGCUUCUCAGCUCAACAGUUCAGUGACUAUAGCUCUGAGCUGGACGUGAGCUCCUUGGAGCUGGAAGAAUCAGCCUUGUAUCUCUGUGCCAGCAGCUCAGGCACAGCCCUGCGGAGUUCCCGGCUCCCUGUACUCAAACCUUCCUGUCCCAGCUAAGUAUGUGAUGGGGGAGCGAGGAGGCCUUAGCCAAGUCCCAGGGAUGCUUCUAGUUCUGCUCUAACACCCUCUCUUCCCUGCCGAGCUCAGGCAGAGCACUCCUGAAUAGUCAGGCCCCAGCA